UUUAUCGUCUUCGGUAUUCUCCUUUUAUAGCAUGCUACUUUUCUUUUUGUCUAAAAGUCGACAUAAUCUUUGACCGCUUUUGACCAAACGGAUAGAGUUCAGUUUAUUUGACAGGCUUUGCUGAGGAGUGAGGAUCCAUCUCCAACAAAAGGUUAUUGAUAAUUUCACUUCUAGCUACCAUCUAUGUUGGUUGAUGCUUUCUGCAACGAACCAGAUUACAUCUUGGACAUAAAAAUGGUUCAACAUCAUGUAAAAGUUGUUAUAAUGGUCUUGUUAAAUGGAUGAGAAAGGAUGAAACUGAAGAAACAUGGAAUUUUCUCUUUGAUAUUGAGCAAAAAUAUCCAUAGAAGUCAUUUUGAAGCAAACCUUGUGGUUAAGAUUUCUUAAAGAGAGGAAGAUUUGAUAUAUCUAACGACCCGUUACUCUAUUAAACCGGUUUAGUCUAUUAAACCAGCUUGGUCUAUUUUAAUUAAUAAUCUCGGACAAGGUUAAAAUUUCUUCCUCCUUUUUGUUAAACCCAGCCGUAAUACAUAAAUCAUAUAAAUCCCCAUCUACAAAAAGAAAACCUAGUAUUUGCGCCGUCAAACAAAAGUCGACAUCUGUUUUACCUGCGUUGAGCAAAGCCGCAAGAGAGAGAAGACAACAAACGGUUCAACCAUCCCACUACCAUUGGCACCGAUCCACAACGUUGUUAUCCAGGAGCAAGUCAGGCCACCGGGGACGUCAUGACGUGGUGGAGAUCACUAAUCUUUACCAUCGGAUCCAUGGCUGAGGAGUGGCUUUGCGGGAGGAUCCUAGAUCGAUUCAAGGGACUAAAGCCUUCGAACCAUCUCUCUUUGGAUAGAUCUUAUUUCCAGGAAUCUGUAGCAGCAAACGGGAUCGAGAUCGGAGUUGUACAGAAAACGUUAUUGGCGUUGCUUCUUGGUCAAGAAUAAGCUUAAGCUAUUGCGAUGCAGAGACAGUUCCGACCAGCCUCAGCGUAAAGGCAAAACGGUCAACCUAAUCAAAAGCUUUCAGUCUGAAAAUUUGUCAAGGUAUUGCCGCAAUCAUCUUUUGCGACCAGCCUGAAGGUGAAGUAAUUUUGGUUGAUCAAAUGGUGAGUAAACUCGGUGUCUACGGAUAGAGUAAAUCUAGGACUACAUUAUGACCGGAGGGAUUCGAAACGUAACGGUCAGUUAAUGAGUUAUUCAUCUAUUUUCUCUAUGGUUCAGUUCUGCCAGAAUAUCAUAUUCUUCUAUUUUCAAAGUUCCGGAGUUGUUGUUUUAGAACCGUCAAGGUCCAUUCAUUGUUUUCUCAGGUUUUCUUCAGAACCUGUGGCCUCACCCAACGAUUCCAUAUUUACUGUUUACUAGGUUAGCUUGUGUUAGUCUGGUCUAGGUCUUGCAUGUUCCGAGUUGAGCUAUCAACCGGGUGUCUGUUUGCUUAUAUAUGUUAUUGAUGUACACGUAUGUGCGAGAAUUUUUCUUAUUGGUCGCUAUUGCGAGCAUAGGUAGUUACGUCAUUGUUUGACUGAACAUAGUAACCUUAUGCUUAAUAAUGAAUAGGACUAAAUAUGUAUUGUUUGAGAAUUACGGAAGACUAAUAAUUGCAUGUAAAUGAAUGAGAUGACAUUUAUAUAUAGUAAUAUUUGUGGUGAGGCAGACUCAUCGGGGCAGAGGUGAGUUCCUGUACGUUGGAGUCUGGCCUAUGGCUUAGCGGGGCAGAGGUGAGUUCCUCCAUGUUAGAAUUUUGGUGAGGCAGACCCAGUGGGGCAGAAGAGGUGAGUUCCUGCACGUUAGAGUCUGGCCUAUGGUUUAGCGGGGCAGAGGUGAGUUCCUGCACGUUAGAGUUCUGGUGGGGUACGGCGGCUGAGUCGAUCCACACCGUAUCCCAGCAAUAAGCGUCUACGGGUGGUGACUAUAGGCACUUACCCUAUAGAACUAGGCUCAACAGGGCAGAGGUGAGUUCCUGCACGUUUGAGUCUGGCCUAUGCUGCAGCGGGGCAGAGGUGAGUUCCUGCACGUUGUACCUGGCCGGGGCUUCGAGGGUACAGAGCUGGGCUCUUGUACUCUGGAGUCCUUGUUUGUUUCUUUGAGAUGUCGUGUUUGUGGCUUGUCUAGGCCUAGACUUACGAGGCUGGGUUAGUAUUCAGUCGAGUUGAGAUUUUGGUCUGGUCUUCAUUGAGCGGCUUGUUUGAAAAUUCGUUCACCCCUCCUUUCUUUUUCUUUUCCUUUGAUUUCUGUCAAGUAGGUUCCAGCAGAGCAGCGGUUGGUUUGACUUUAAAGUUGGUGGUUUUUGCUAAAGACGGUUUGCACUGUAGCAGGUGGAGCGAAACCCAGAACUCUCUGGAACUGGGUGUUACAAUUUGGUAUCAGAACGGGGUUAUGUCCCGGCUCUGACCCGGGAUGGCAAUUUGUGGGACUCGGUUUUAAUCUGUUUUACACAAUUUUCGAACUAUUUCUGAGGAGUUGGGAAAUUUAAAAAUAAAAAUAAGUAACACCUUUCUGUCAAGAAGUUACUAUUUCAGUUUUCUCUUUUUUGUCAUGAGUACAAUUAUUGUCAUUUGUCCUUUGUUUCUCAGGGUUCUAGCCAAUGUUCAACAGAUGGAUGAUGUCACAUUUUGUCAGAUUGCUCAAGUGUUUAGCAGUUUUGUUCGGAGAUUGUUCGUGAGGGGAUAUGUGACGUUCUGCCACCACCUAACUUUAAGGCAUCACUCCACGAGUUUGUUAUUGGAUCUUAUUUAGUAUGAGAGAUGGGCCAUUGGUUGGCAUGUGUUAUUCUUGUGUAUGAGUAUAUUGACUAUUUUGGAGGUAUGUUUAGUUUGUAAACUCGGGGAGAUCGCUUUUGGAUUGGGGAUGCGACAUCUUGCAUUGUGUAUAUGUUGGAGUUAUGCUUGGUUUUAUUUGUAAGAUUUUUUCUGAGUUUAUCGUUUCAGAUGUGCUAGUUAUACUCGGAAGAGUCGAGUUCAUUUUGGAUCUAGCAGAGUUUGAAUAUAAAUAUUACAAUGUCA